ACGGAGGGGGCUAGCGUUGUUCGGAAUUACUGGGCGUAAAGCGCGCGUAGGCGGCUUGCCAAGUUGGGGGUGAAAUCCCGGGGCUCAACCCCGGAACUGCCCUCAAAACUGGUUCGCUCGAGUCCGGGAGAGGUGAGUGGAAUUCCCAGUGUAGAGGUGAAAUUCGUAGAUAUUGGGAAGAACACCAGUGGCGAAGGCGGCUCACUGGACCGGUACUGACGCUGAUGUGCGAAAGCGUGGGGAGCAAACAGG
rnacentral:rRNA from 1 species